rnacentral:rRNA from 1 species
GGAUGGGCCCGCGGCGCAUUAGCUGGUUGGUGAGGUAACGGCUCACCAAGGCGACGAUGCGUAGCCGACCUGAGAGGGUGAUCGGCCACACUGGGACUGAGACACGGCCCAGACUCCUACGGGAGGCAGCAGUAGGGAACUUUCCGCAAUGGGCGCAAGCCUGACGGAGCAACGCCGCGUGAGUGAGGACGGCCUUCGGGUUGUGAACCUCUGAUCUUGAGGAAGAAUUCCUACCAGGCGAACAGCCUGGUAGGUUGACGGUACUCAAGGAGAAAGCCCCGGCUAACUACGUGCCAGCAGCCGCGG